GAUGAAGAACGUAGCGAAAUGCGAUAAGUAGUGUGAAUUGCAGAAUUCAGUGAAUCAUCGAAUCUUUGAACGCACAUUGCGCCCUUUGGUAUUCCUUAGGGCAUGCCUGUUCGAGCGUCAUCUAAACCUUCAAGCACUGCUUGGUGUUGGGUGCCUGUCCCACCCCCGCGCGUGGACUCACCUCAAAUCCAUUGGCGGCCCUCACGUCGGCUACGAGCGCAGCAGAAACGCGAACUUGUGGACCCGGCGGAGUGGCUCCCAGAAGCUACAUUCACCAUUUUGACCUCGGAUCAGGUAGGGAUACCCGCUGAACUUAAGCAUAUCAAUAAGCGGAGGA
rnacentral:misc_RNA from 1 species